AUUGAACGCUGGCGGCAGGCCUAACACAUGCAAGUCGAGCGGAUGACGGGAGCUUGCUCCUUGAUUCAGCGGCGGACGGGUGAGUAAUGCCUAGGAAUCUGCCUGGUAGUGGGGGACAACGUUUCGAAAGGAACGCUAAUACCGCAUACGUCCUACGGGGGAAAGCAGGGGACCUUCGGGCCUUGCGCUAUCAGAUGAGC
rnacentral:rRNA from 1 species